GAGAGAGAGUGUAAGUAGGGACCAGACCUGCAGGUAUGAAUGAAAUUAUGAACAAUCAUGCUUCACAGUUGACUAGAGUAGAACCACUACUUGACUUGCAACCCUGCAUACUAUAGUGCUUCACAGCUCCCUAAGCAAUUACCUUCAAACUUCUUCCUUGUUUCAAUCAUCUUCAGACAACCAACCAAUCUCGUUGAUAUUAGUACUGAGAAUUGAACCAAAUUAACUAUCAAUUUUGCUGCUUCUUCAUCAUCAUCUAGCCUUCCUCUUCAUCUUACUCAGAAAAAUAUAUUGUCAUGGAGGAUAACCACCAAAUCAUCAAUUUUGCUCCUUCUUCUUCAUCUUCUGUGAUGUCUCUGAAAAAAUAUGAUGUUUUUCUUAGCUUUCGUGGUGAAGAUACUCGAGACAACUUCACCAGCCAUCUUUAUGAUGCUCUCCAAAAGGAAGUGGAGACCUACAUAGACUACAGGCUUGACAAGGGAGAUGAUAUCUCACAAGCACUCAUCAAAGCCAUACAAGACUCACUUGUAUCUGUUGUCAUCUUCUCUGAAAACUAUGCUUCCUCCAAGUGGUGCUUGGAUGAGAUCAGCGUGAUUCUUCAAUGCAAGAGAGAUCAUGGACAAAUUGUAAUACCUGUGUUCUAUAAAGUAGAUCCUUCACAUGUCAGGAAGCAGACAGGGAGCUACAAGGAAGCUUUUGCAAAGCAUGAGCAAGAUCUGAACAACAGUGAUGAUGACAAGUUGCAGAAAUGGAGAUGUGCACUCAGAGAUGCAGCCAAUUUGGCAGGGUGGGACUCUCAGAGUUUUAGGAAUGAAUCUGAAUUCAUUAAGGACAUUGUUAAAGAUGUUUUACAAAAACUGAAUAUCAGAUACCCAGUGGAAUUGAAGGGAUUAGUUGGAAUAGAGGAAAAUUAUGCAGGGGUUGAAUCAUUAUUGAAAAUUGGCUCAAUUGAUGAUGUUCGAGUGGUUGGAAUAUGGGGCAUGGGUGGCAUAGGGAAGACCACACUGGCGCGUGCUUUGUAUGCCAAGUUGUCUAUUCAAUUUGAAGGUCAUUGCUUCCUCAAAAGUGUAAGGGAACAAUCAGAAAAGAAGGGUUUAGAUGCUUUGCGCAACAAACUUUUUUCUGAGUUGUUAGGAGAAAAAAAUCUUCAAGUUGAGUCCCCUUAUGUGAUGAGAAGGCUUGCACGUAAGAAAGUUCUUAUUGUUUUGGAUGAUGUGGCUACCUCUCAACAGUUACAAGAACUCAUCACUGAUUAUUACUGUUUGGCACCAGGAAGUAGAGUGAUUGUAACGACUAGAGACAAACACAUAAUUAGUCAGGUGAAUGGUAUAUAUGAGGUCAAGGAACUGAAUUACCAUGACUCUCUUCACCUUUUCUACUUGAAUGCCUUCAAAGAAAAGUGUCUUGAUGGAUAUGAAGAGCUAUCAAAAUGUGUGAUUGCAUAUUGCAAACGAAAUCCUUUGGCUUUAAAAGUCUUGGGUGCACGUCUUCGAUCAAAGAGUAUAGAUGUGUGGAAAAGUGAAUUGAAAAAGCUCUGCAAGAUUCCAGACGUGAAUAUUCAUAAUGUCUUGAAAUUGAGUUUUGAUGGCUUGGAUUCUGAUGAGAAGAACAUAUUUCUAGAUAUUGCAUGCUUCUUAAAAGGAGAAUCUAGAGAUUACGUGACAAGUCUACUAGAUGCUUGUGGUUUCUUUCCCGAUGUUGGGAUAGAAGACCUUAUAGAUAAGUCUCUUUUAACUGUUUCAAAUGAGGGUCAUAUAGAAAUGCAUGACUUGAUACAAGAAAUGGGUUGGAAUAUUGUUCGUCAAGAAUUUGAUAAAGACCCUGGACGACGAAGUCGAUUGUGGGAUCCCGAGGAAGUGUUUGAUGUAUUGAAAAAUAAUAAGGGAACUGAAUCUGUAGAAGGCAUAAUUUUAAAUGUGUCCAAAAUUAGAAAGGAUUUACAUUUGGGCUUUAGUUCCUUCACAAAAAUGACUGAAGUAAGAAUUCUUAAAUUCUAUUAUGGUAGGUGGAGUAAAGAAUGUAAGAUAUACCUUCCUAAUGGUCUUGACUCAUUGUCUGACAAAUUGAGACUCCUUGAAUGGCAUCGAUACUGUUUGGAGUCUUUGCCAUCAACCUUUUGUGCUGAAAAGCUGGUUAAGCUUGUCAUGUCACGCAGCAACCUUAAAAAGCUUUGGGAUGAAGUUCAAAAUCUUGUGAAUUUAAAGGAAAUUGACCUUACAUGCUCCAAAGACCUGGUUGAGCUCCCAGACUUAACUCAUGCUACAAAUCUUGAAGUAUUACGUCUUGGGAAAUGUAUAAGUUUGCGUGAAGUUCAUCCAUCCAUUUUAUCUCUCCCCAAUCUUUGGGAUCUGAAUUUACGUUGUUGCACCAAGAUUGAAAGCCUUGAAAGUGAGGUCCAUUCAAAAUCUCUUCGCACAAUCAACCUCCGCAACUGCUCAUCCCUAAAGAAAUUCUCAGUCUUCUCUGAGAAAUUGGAGGAAUUGUGGUUAGAUGAUACAGCUAUCCAGGAACUACCCUCGUCAAUUUGGCGUUGUGAGAAACUUAGGGACUUGAGUCUAAUGGGGUGUGACAAUCUUAAGAGUUUUGGGAUUGGGAGCAAGUCAUCUCAUGAUCCAGUAAAUGCAUCUCUUGUGUCUCUAAACCUUUCUGGGUGCAAAUUAGUGAAUGAAUCCAAUCUAAGUUUAAUCCUUGAUGGUAUGCGGUCUUUAUCUGAGUUGUAUUUGGAAGAUUGUUGCAACUUACGAGCACUCCCUGACUCCAUUGGCUCGUUAACAUCGUUGGAGUCGUUAGACCUAAGUGGAAGCAUUAAUGUUGAGAUGUUGUCUCUAAACAUCAAGAACCUUUUGAAGCUAGAAUAUCUUUGGUUAUACAAUUGCAGGAAACUUGUGUCUCUGCCAGAGCUUCCACCUUCCCUGGUGGUGUUACCUGCCACUAUCUGCCUAGAGUUACGAGCACUCGCUGACAUGAAGAACCUUUUGAAGCUAGAAGAUCUUUGCUUAGACAAUUGCAGGAAACUUGUGUCUCUGCCAGAGCUUCCACCUUCCCUGAUAAGGUUGCCGUCAACUGCACAUCUCUGGAGACCAACUUCAGUACUCAAUUGUUGUCGGUGGAAAUACAGAUGAUCAUGGUGGAUAUGUUAUGGUCCGUGGAUCCCAAGUUCCUGACAUGUGUAUGUUUGGUGGUGAAGGGGAUUCAAUAACUUUUCCGCAACUUGCAAAUUCUGAAAACAUAUGCCGCAUUAUUUGUUGCCUGGUACGGCAAGGCUACAGUGGAAGAGUGCGAUAUCGGAUCAACAAAACAUCCCACAUACGAUGAUUGGCGUACUUUGUUUUAUCAUGACGGUGACACUUCCAUUUUGGAUGAUCAUCUAGUUCCUAUGAUGCACGGGUACUCCAAAAAUCGCAUUGUACCCGUACCGGGUACGUACCCGGUACGGGUACGCCAUGGGUACGCCGUGGGUACGUACCAGGUACGUACCCAAGUCCACCAAAAAAAAAAACUGGGGUACGUUUUUGGGUACGCCACGGGUAGGUUUGGGUACGUCCGUGGGUACUCCGGAUACUUUUUUUUUUAAAAAAAAAAUUUGUUCAAAACUACCUCGUUUUUGUUCACUGAUGAUGGAGAAGGGAAUGAUGAUACCAUUACUGUUUGAGAGAGCUUUGAUUUUGUAUUGUUGGUUGUUGAACAAUCUAUCGUUUAAUUGUUUUGUUGUGUUGAACAAUCGUAUUGUCUCUUUUGUACUAUUUUAAUUUGUGUUACUGUCUAUGUUGAACAAUCUUAUGUUAUGUCUCUUCAAUGUUACUCAAUCUUAUGUUAUGUUUCUUCAA